GAGAAGGAGAGAAACAAGAACCAGAAAAUGAAAAAAAAGAAAAAAAUAGUUAUGUGUAUGAUCUUAAUUUGAGAGGUCAUGUUGUUCAAUACCUUGGUUCUAUUAGCUUCUCCUCUCCCCUCU
rnacentral:ribozyme from 1 species